rnacentral:rRNA from 1 species
GAUCAUGGCUCAGGAUGAACGCUAGCUACAGGCUUAACACAUGCAAGUCGAGGGGCAGCAUGAUCUUAGCUUGCUAAGAUUGAUGGCGACCGGCGCACGGGUGAGUAACGCGUAUCCAACCUUCCCUAUAGUAGGGGAUAGCCCGUAGAAAUGCGGAUUAAUACCCUAUGUUGUAUUUCGAUGACAUCUGACGAAUACCAAAGGUUCACCGCUAUAGGAUGGGGAUGCGUCUGAUUAGGUAGUCGGCGGGGUAACGGCCCACCGAGCCAACGAUCAGUAGGGGUUCUGAGAGGAAGGUCCCCCACAUUGGAACUGAGACACGGUCCAAACUCCUACGGGAGGCAGCAGUGAGGAAUAUUGGUCAAUGGGCGAGAGCCUGAACCAGCCAAGUAGCGUGCAGGAUGACGGCCCUAUGGGUUGUAAACUGCUUUUAUGCGGGGAUAAAGUGAGGGACGUGUCCCUUAUUGUAGGUACCGCAUGAAUAAGGACCGGCUAAUUCCGUGCCAGCCGCUGC